rnacentral:rRNA from 1 species
UGGGGAAUAUUGCACAAUGGGGGAAACCCUGAUGCAGCGACGCCGCGUGAGCGAAGAAGUAUUUCGGUAUGUAAAGCUCUAUCAGCAGGGAAGAAAAUGACGGUACCUGACUAAGAAGCUCCGGCUAAAUACGUGCCAGCAGCCGCGGUAAUACGUAUGGAGCAAGCGUUAUCCGGAUUUACUGGGUGUAAAGGGAGCGCAGGCGGCUUUGCAAGUCUGAUGUGAAAGGCCAGGGCUCAACCCUGGGACUGCAUUGGAAACUGUAAAGCUAGAGUGCCGGAGAGGUAAGCGGAAUUCCUAGUGUAGCGGUGAAAUGCGUAGAUAUUAGGAGGAACACCAGUGGCGAAGGCGGCUUACUGGACGGCAACUGACGCUGAGGCUCGAAAGCGUGGGGAGCAAACAGG